rnacentral:rRNA from 1 species
UACGGGGGGUGCAAGCGUUGUUCGGAUUUACUGGGCGUAAAGGGCGCGUAGGCGGGCCUUCAAGUCGGACGUGAAAACUGGCAGCUCAACUGCCAGCCUGCAUUCGAUACUGUCGGUCUUGAGUACAGGAGAGGAAAGCGGAAUUCCAGGUGUAGCGGUGAAAUGCGUAGAUAUCUGGAAGAACACCGGUAGCGAAGGCGGCUUUCUGGCCUGAUACUGACGCUGAAGCGCGAAGGCUAGGGUAGCAAACAGGAUUAGAUACCCGCGUA